GUGAAAUUGUUGAAAGGGAAACGCUUGAAACCAGUCAUGUGGUUGGAAAAUCAGUGUUCAAGAGGGGGGAAUGGGGGAGGUGUGGACCGCAAGGCUGCUCUUUUCUAUAUCUCUUUUGUUGGGCAUGCACUUUUUCUUCUGCAGGUCAACAUCAGUUUCUUUUGCUGGACAAAACUCUUGAGAAGGUAGCAGCUUAGGCUGUGUUAUAGCUCUGGAGCGAUACAGUGGAGGAGACUGAGGUUUUCGCAGCAUGUGCUCUCGGGCAAGGCCAAUUGGGUGCUAUGGGAUCGUUCGGGGUACAAUACAUGUAUUUUGCCUCGUGUCCUUUCUAUACUCGUUCAGUUGAGCUCUUCCAUGCUUAGGAUGUUGACUUAAUGGUUUUAAUCGACCCGUCUUGAAACACGGACCAAGGAGUCUAACAUAUAUGCAAGUGUUUGGGUGGCAAACCCAUGCGCGUAAUGAAAGUGAACGUAGGUGCCAUCCGCAAGGUGCAGCAUCGACCGAUCUUGAUAUUUUUGGAUAGAUUUGAGUAAGAGCAUAUAUGCUGGGACCCGAAAGAUGGUGAACUAUGCCUGAAUA
rnacentral:rRNA from 1 species